rnacentral:lncRNA from 1 species
UCCAGACUUGCUCAGAUCCUUAUCAUCAUGCUGCAUAAAUGCAAGAGUCUCAAGAGAACUCAGGUUCCAGUGACCUUGUUUCCAGUUUCCUAUGAAUGCUUUGGAUUGGAGAUGAUCCAGAAAAAUUAAUACUCAAGUAUCUGCUGGAACUUUCUCCUGAAGCCACUUGGUGAGAAUACUUGUAGCUAAAAACUGUCUUUUGUCCCAUCUUGUCUCCAGUUAUGUAUGAUAAAGGCUGCUGUAGUUGUUGGAAAGUAUUUAUCCCUGGAACUCAGACUGGAAAGCCAUUUUUGGAAGAAGAUCUAGACACUACCAGAAGGAGCAGAACUGAUUGCCACCACAACAGUGAGCAGAAUGGGUAGAAACCAAAGCAACAUCACAAUUGGAUGCCCAUUGUCAUUAAAGAAUCCAGGAGAGACAGCAGAGCCAAUGGCAUUCAAAGGCGAGGAGGUGCAUGAGAGAUAAGGGUAGCCCAUUUGUCAGUGAAUUUCCAAAAGAAGGGAGUCAACUAAACAGCAUGGACUUGGAAGUCCCAAAGACCUGCUGUCCAUGUGACAUAAACACCAGAGCUGUGUAUGACUCUAAUGGGGAGACUAUGUCUCUGGAGGCAACUCAAAGCUGAUCUUUAAGGAACAACUGGCCAAAGUCCUUUAACUGUGAGUCUC